rnacentral:tRNA from 1 species
GGGAUGUUAGUAAAUCUAUUACGUAGCCUUGUCAAGACUAAAUCAUGGAUGAAAACCCCAUACAUCCCA